rnacentral:rRNA from 1 species
GAGUUUGAUCGUGGCUCAGAACGAACGCUGGCGGCAUGCCUAACACAUGCAAGUCGAACGAGACCUUCGGGUCUAGUGGCGCACGGGUGCGUAACGCGUGGGAAUCUGCCCUUGGGUGCGGAAUAACUUCUCGAAAGGGAUGCUAAUACCGCAUAAUGUCGUAAGACCAAAGAUUUAUCGCCCAAGGAUGAGCCCGCGUAAGAUUAGCUAGUUGGUGGGGUAAAAGCCCACCAAGGCGACGAUCUUUAGCUGGUCUGAGAGGAUGAUCAGCCACACUGGGACUGAGACACGGCCCAGACUCCUACGGGAGGCAGCAGUGGGGAAUAUUGGACAAUGGGCGAAAGCCUGAUCCAGCAAUGCCGCGUGAGUGAUGAAGGCCCUAGGGUUGUAAAGCUCUUUUACCAGGGAUGAUAAUGACAGUACCUGGAGAAUAAGCUCCGGCUAGCUUCGUGCCAGCAGCCGCCGUAA